AAAAUUCUAAUUUCCCUCUCCUUUCUCUUGUAUCUCUCUCCUAAAACAUGUUCGUUUUUACUUUUCCCCAUAUUUUCCUUUAACCCUAAAUGGAUUACCCUCCCAAAAUUCAUCCCCAGAUCUCGUACUGAUACUCCCUCUUCUCUUUUUGUUUAAUCAGCUUGUUUUGGCAUUACGAUAAAGAGAGAAACAAACCGGACAUGCAGCAUCUCCAUUGAAUCCAUCUAAUCUCUCCUCUGAUUGAAUGCGAACCGAAGGAAGAGGAACAUAAAUCGGAAGCCAUCCGAUUCUAGACCUUAAUCGGAGCUCUGAAAACCAAUUAAGGACUGACGUGAUUAAGUGAAGGUUGAAUGUGAUGGUGUCGUGAAGGGGGGUGUUCCGGGGAGGUGGUUGUUGAUGAUGGGUAAGAGUUGCAGAAAAGAUGGAGGAAGCAACGGAGAUUUGAGGAGGCGAUCCGGUUCCAGGCAUUCCGCGUGAUGUUGUGAGUAUGAAACUGUGGUCAGCAGGGCCGGUGGUGGUCAACGAGCUAUUGAGUAGGCCACAACAGCUUAAUCAGCAAGGUCGUGCACUGGGAUAGCAAUAGAAGUAGCAACACUUGCAAGUAUUAACUUUAAAGAUACUUUAAAUGAGUGGCAUGACAAAGUUGGUGAGGUGACUGUGGAUCAAUAGUAAGUCCUAUGGAAAAGUAGUAAAUCUCAAAACAUAAACUUGUAUUUGUUUGAAAUAAGUUGUUAUACCUGGUCACAAUUGCCUCUUUGGGUGGAACUUUAAUGGUCUAAUGUUUUUACAUUUUUUUAUCAUUCAGGUCGCAUCUUGUUAUAUCCAGUCACAAAUGCCUCUUUGGGUGGAACUUUAGUUUAAUGGUCAAUGUUCUUACAUUUUUUUAUCAUUCAGGCCACGUCUUGUCACUGCCUCUGCUCACGUAGCAGCUGCAAACCCACCCAGUAUGGAUUUGGACCUACAUGUUGUUCCUAACUUAACAUUUAGGUCAUGCCUUGUUGCUGCUACGGAUGUUGUAUGCUUUGAUGUGGAUAACAUCGUGUGUAUGGAUGAAGACAUUGCUGGAAAAGCUGUUGUUGAGUGGACUGCAAGGUGUGCAUGGUAUUAAGAUGGUUUUCUGCUUUUAGUUUAUUUUUAUAUUAAAUUAAUUGUGCACGUGUUGAGCAAUGGGUGGUUCAGUCCCUUUUCCGGAAGUUUUAGCUGCCAGACUUGAUCUUUUCAAACCUUCAUCAUCAACAGUCUUGAGAAGCGACCCCCCAGGCUUCCUUUUGGCAUAAAGGAAUUGGUGGUUAUUUGAUAUCUGGAGGGUUUUGUCAAAUGAUCAAUGCGGUAAUUGCUGUUGGAGUUUUUCUACAAGGGCUGGGGGAUGAAUACUAUAAGGUACUACUGUUGCAAUGCAUUUCUUAUAUUAAUUCUUAUCCAUAUACUUAGGAAUGGGUCUAUUCGGGUUAUGUUUAAUCUAAAAUGGGAAAAUUUAAACAAAUCAUUCAUAAAUGAAUCAAAUCAAAUGGCCAAACAACUAGAUAUUAAUUUUCUUUUCUUUUACUGAUUUUUGAGUGACGUGAGUCCCCUGCAAUUAACUUAUUUGAAUCGUAUUGUAAUGCAACCAUGCAUACUUAUUUUGUAGAGGCGUUGUUUAUAUGAUAAUCAUGAUGUGGUCAGUGGUACACUUCGUUUUUUUUUUAUUUAUACCCAGCAUCCUCUAUCUCUCAAAAAGAAGGAAGUAAUUGACCCGACACACAAAGUGUUGAACCCGACCCAAGCCGUACUAGAAACUGUCCGGUUGACAUUAUGUGCAGGUUUGUGACAUGAAUACAUAUAUAUAUAUAUACGUGGAGGUGAUGGUUUCAUUGAUGGGCUAAGAGACAUCAGAAUUUGCCAUUGGUUACUCACUAUCACAACAGCAGCAAGGUAGCCACCAACCAAUAGAUGCAAAUUUGCAUCAUUUUCAAGUUCAAAAGCAGUGAGUAUAUACGGACUUGAAGAAACAACCUAGAAAUAGCUUUUAGUUUUUGUGUACAUUUGUUUCCAUUUGCAACUAUUGUAGAUAGGUUUCGAUUAGAAGUUUAUGCCUUGCAUUAGUAUGUAAAUUGAAAACUUAUGUAUGGAUAAAAUGGGUAAUUACAUGAAAAU